GAUGAACGCUGGCGGCGUGCCUAAUACAUGCAAGUCGAGCGAACGGACGAGAAGCUUGCUUUUCUGAUGUUAGCGGCGGACGGGUGAGUAACACGUGGAUAACCUACCUAUAAGACUGGGAUAACUUCGGGAAACCGGAGCUAAUACCGGAUAAUAUUUUGAACCGCAUGGUUCAAAAGUGAAAGACGGUCUUGCUGUCACUUAUAGAUGGAUCCGCGCUGCAUUAGCUAGUUGGUAAGGUAACGGCUUACCAAGGCAACGAUGCAUAGCCGACCUGAGAGGGUGAUAGGCCACACUGGAACUGAGACACGGUCCAGACUCCUACGGGAGGCAGCAGUAGGGAAUCUUCCGCAAUGGGCGAAAGCCUGACGGAGCAACGACGCGUGAGUGAUGAAGGUAUUCGGAUCGUAAAACUCUGUUAUUAGGGAAGAACAUAUGUGUAAGUAACUGUGCACAUCUUGGCGGUACCUAAUCAGAAAGCCACGGCUAACUACGUG
rnacentral:rRNA from 1 species